rnacentral:lncRNA from 1 species
UGGGAAGACUGAUGAAAAAUAACUUAAUGAAGUUUCUAUCUGUAUUGACUAACGUAAGGAAAUGCCUCAAUGACAAGUCAGUGGAAGAAGGUGGUAAAACAGGGAUUUACAACAUCUAUUAGAGGCUACCACCAACCAUUGUUAGAUCAUUCUGGAUAGCAGUUUAUGUGUCUUUAAGUGCUAGUUACUCAUAAGGAGUUCUGUAACAAAGAUCUGUUUCCUAGUGAAUAAGAUAAACAAUUAAUUAAUUCUUUCCUUAAUAAAAAAAUAAAUGCCUAUUUUUCUCUCCAGAAGUCGAGAAUCUUGUUUUCUUUGGAGUGAAACUAUUCCUUUCACCUGUGUGAUGGCAUGAAAGAGUUUUCAUCUGAGGCAAAUGAAAAAUAUUCCACCGCCUUCCCACCAACCUCCAGUACCAGCUCUGUAAAGAACAAAAGGAAUGAGGCUGGAGAGAAACCAUCCUGAAAAGGCUUCCAGCUGCAGUCCCAGCAAGCCUGAUCCACCUUGCCCAGGAGCUUGGACUGCUGUUGAAACUGCUGUUGAAACUGAAGACCAGCCAAACUCAAGAAAAUGGAAGAAGCUCCGGGCUUGCAAAAGAAAAAAAAUCAACAAGGAGUCUACUCCUCGUCCCUGAACAAGUGUAGCUGCUUUCUGAGUGAUGUAGAUUGGCAUACUUGUAGAAGGGUGGUCCUUCAUUCUCUGCAUAACCAGCUUAUAAAACAGCAGGCAUAGCUGAGGGCAGGAAAUCAA